UAGUACUUCCAGCAAGAGGCAAGAGUAAUAGGAACACAGAAUUACCAGCUGUUGCAAUCAAGACAAGAUACAAAAAGAUGCUGCAGAUUUCUCCAUUCAUUUACAUCUGAAGAUAUGAUCCAUUGCCCAAGCAUGGCAGCUGCAAAGGGAUAUAAUCAUACUUUUGGCUCUAAAUUCAAAUGAUCAUGAUGGGCUUAUGGCAGUCCUGCUGUAUUCACAUGUUGAAGUACUCUUAUACACAAGCUGUGGAUGCUCAAUUUUUGGCUGUAUAUCUACUUGGAAAUGUCCCAUACUGCUUGAUAAGACCCAGAUGGCAACCAGAUGGCUCCAUGUAACUCUUUGGAAGUGCUGUUGCAGACUGAGAGUAAGAAACUGAAUACUUUUCCAGACACGAUCUGUUUACGAUAAGAAAGAGAAGUUAUGGGAUGGUGAUGAUUCACACGAUCACGGUAUUUUCCAGUCACAUGCAUAGGUAAUGAUUAAACUGCUUCUUCCAGUCACACAUCAGGAAGUCAUAGUAGAAUUUGAGCCAUUUUUUUUCAUUUCUCAACUCCAUUGGCUUCCCAUGCACUUCUGUAAGUCACCACACUCUUCUCUUAAUAGAAAAAACCUCUUAUUAGGCAGAAGGGCUAAAAGAUGAUUUAGCAUAACCUGUAAUACCAGACAUCUUUCUCCCUCUCUCACUCACUGUUUUAGUUUGCAGUCAAAGAAAAUACGCUGAUGGGAAGAUUUAGAGAUUUAAACAAGGCCUGCAGUAUUUAAACAUUGCUACUCUAAUAUUGCUACAGUGCUAUGAAAAGUUAACACACCCUGGUUUCUAGAUCUGUGGAAAUUUGUGUGCUUACAGGAAUUUCUUUAGGGAAAGUCUUUGAAGAAAUGUGUUUGGCUCCAGGUGGGUUACAUUUUCUCAUCCUACUAGUGCUUCCUAAUGUUGGUCACCAAGUUACUGAGAAGUUUUUGUUUUAUCUUAGUUUAGAAGCUAUAAUGCAUCCAUCAACCAUCAGCAAAUGACCUUCAUGGUGAUACCUGACACAAACAUUUCAAAAUCAUUUGAGUGAAGCUUCUUGGAAUCAAAAUGUAUUGUUCUGUGAGAUGUAAAUUAAAUAAUUUUCAGCUCUGCAAACAAAGGAUACAUUAUACUGGUUUGUAGUUAAACACAUCAGACAUCUAUUAAGGAGAAAAACAACCACAUGAGAUAAUGAAUGUGCAAUGAUAGGGGAAUGUAUAUGUGUGUAUGCAUGAAGGAGAUUCAGGACAGAGGCAAAAGGAUGGAAGGGAAAUGUCUGUGGUGGAUAACAGAUUUAAAUGCAGGAAAGUACUGCCACUCAGAAUGAGAAUCAACGUUUUCUUUUAAAUAUCAUAACUGUCAUUUUGAUGAGAGAAGACCCAACACAAUUACAUUCAUGGGAGCCUAAAUCAUUUAGUUGAAUGCUAAUAUUUUUAUGAUUUGGUAUUUUGAAACUGUCCAAUCUGUUAAGGAACUCCUGUCUAAAGUUUCCUUUCUUCACUUCAUUCUGCUAUACAGUGUCAAUAUUGCAUAUUUUAAUGGUUUCUGCCCUGUCUUGAAUAUUUUUUCUCUGAGUGUUUCUCAUUACUCACCAUUGUGAAUUUUAAUUUUUAUGUAGUUUAAGCUGCUCGUACUUAUUAAGAAUGUAAUAAAAUCAGUAAUAGGGAAGAUCCAAAAUAGCUUUGGAAAGUCCCUUCAGAAGCGUUUGUUUUCUGCUUUCAUACUGCCAUCUUCAGCGUAAGUAUUAAAACUACAGUUACUACAUAUCCUUACAGUCAUGACUUUGUUUUCUUCCAUUAAAUUAUCCUUUUACAAACUCGAAAGUGGGUUUUAAAUACUGCCAAAUUAAAAUAGUUGCACUUUACAAACAGGGAGGCAAAUACACGAAGGAGAACCAGGUUAUCUGUGCUGACUGUUCUGUACACUGCAGCAUCAUGUUGAACAAACAGCUUUAUAUUAACAUGUUUAAUUGUCUUGUCAUAUAUAUUGUCUAGAACAAGUAUUUCCAUUUUGAUCAAAGUCCAAAAAAGAAUUCUCCACCAUGAAGAUUUAUUUGUAGAUCUUUGAUUUCCAAGAAUAUGAUGAGAGGUUUCCAGUUUGUAAACACAGAAAAAUUAUUCCCCCAUAUUUUCAUAAGUAGAAUAUGUCCUGUUCUUUUUUUGUCACUGUGUUCCAGGAGUAAGGAUCUGCCUCGUGGUGCCUAGCUUCCAUUUUCAAAGUUGACUAUUGAUUUAGAAACUAACAUAACCUGAUUCUCAGAAAGUUUUGAGCUACUUGGUCCCCCAUCAGGCUACCUUCAGGGCAUUCACAGACUGCUGGCUGAGAUGGAGGAGGCUCUGUGAUUUAAUAAAUUAUUGCUGAUGAGCUGAACCUUACUGCUCAUACAGCAAGUAAGAGCUGAAAUAGCUGAUCUUGUAGUAAUAAGGACUCAGUUAUGAUAGUAUGAUAAUGGGCAGGUCAUUAGUAUCUGUCUAAAGGGAUAAAGCUUUGCAGUUCUUGUUUAUCAAAGCUGUAUCUGACGAUAUAUCACCUGAAAUACACGAGUCAAUGUAUUCAGAGAUUACCACCAAGAAAAUAUGAAAAAGGACUAUUUUCUGUAGGGCUGCACUGAGUUAACAAGUGCAAAUCAAGAAGCAGUAUUCAUGAACAGACAGUCCCUUGGAAGAAGUAAAGAAACAAACAAACAAAAAAGAAGAAAAAACAACAGAAAAAGAAAUCUAAAUCUUUAAUAUUUGCACAGAGCAUCGUAUUUAAUCUUUGUUCAGUUCUGAUUAAGAACAAUAAAAGACUGUGUGAAAGGAAAAGCCACAUUCUAAAAUUGAAAAGAUUGAGAGAUUAAAUCUUAUAAGUUCCCCAAUUAUCUCAGUCAAAUAUAAUGACAGCUAUUAGAGAAUGAUUACAAUUUUUGUGGUCAUUCUGUCUUUCUAAUACUAUUACAUAUGUGCAGAUCUCAUUUUUUUAAUCAGGUUUCCUUCUUCACUUAAGUGAUCCAUGGAUUGACCAUGUGGAACUCAAAUUAUAUUCUUGCUUGCUUAUUUUACUUGUGAGACAGGCAGAAAAUUCUAACUGAACAUUAAAUAUAUAAUCAAACAAAGCCCCUGACUGUGUGGGCAGGAAAGGCAGAUGGUUAUAUCAUUGUGAAGUUCCUUCUCAGCACAAAGAGAAGAAAAAAAAAAAGAUUUUCUAGCAGAUAGACAGCAAGGAGCAUUCCAAAAGCUUCCCAAAAGAUUAAACGCUGUUGUACUAAAAAUAUCUGAUGUCAGCUUUCUGGGGAUGGGUCAAAUAUAGGCAUAUUUCAUUGCUUCUCAUAAUCUAUGGCAUACCUUGAAAUGAUUCUUGGCAUUAAUCACCUUUUCAAACUUACUUUUUUUUCCCUUUAAAUGCCUAUUUGAAAAUAAACUUACUUUCUCAUAAGCACACAUUUGAACAGGUUGCUUUACAUCCUCACAUGUUAACUGAAGUAUGUCAUGAAUUAGUCAAUAGUUGACAGUAGUCUUUGGGAAAUAAAUGUUUGCUCAGCAAGUUUGCUUGUGGAACAUAUUACAUCUAGAUUCCAUUCUUCCUGACAUUUGAGUGGUGGGUCUGAAAAGUAUGACAUCUGUUCCUGGAUGUGCUUUGAACUGGACAGAGAUGGGCACUGUCAACAGGAGGUAAAUCUAUGCUAGAGAAGUGUGCUCUGUAAAUAAAUAAUUUUGUAUCACUUAAACUUGCUUUUACCCUGUAAAUUGGCAGAAGAAGUGGCCUGUCCAGUUUUUAAAGUCAUAGUAAUUAUAUCAUUGAAUAUAAAUGAGUACCAUAACAUCAUAAGG
ensembl:lncRNA